AUUUUUUGUCUAGAACAUGUUUUGCUUUAUUCAUUAUUGACGUGUUUCUUGCUACUUUAUGUUGUAUAUUUUUUACUUGAGAUUUCCAGUUCAAUUUAUCAUCAAUCAUUAUACCUAGAAAUUUGGUUUCAUUUACUCUUUCAAUUUCUAUUCCGUCUAUUUGUAUUUGUGUUUGACUUUCUUUUCUACUGUUACCAAAUAGCAUUAUUUUAGUUUUACUGAGAUUCAAAGAUAGUCUGUUUUUGUCAAACCAUCUUUUUAAUUUGUUAAUUUCUUCUGUUAUUAUUUGUAUUAUCUUCUGUGUGUUCUCUCCUGAACAAAACGCUGUUGUAUCAUCCGCAAAUAAUACUAACUUUAAAUCUUUUGUAACUUUACAAAUGUCAUUUAUCUAGACAUUGAAUAAUUUAGGUCCUAUAUUGAUCCCUGAGGUACACCACAGGAUAUAUUUAGCGUUGUAGACGAAACCACCACAUUAAUAUUAAAGAUAUGGUUAACAUUCUUAGUGCUAAAGAUAUUCCCCUCUCCUUGUAUCCCUUCUCCCAGCUCCACCGUCUCGCCGAGUGCCAGCAAGAGUCAUGAGUACUUGUCAACUCGACUCCUCAACUGGAGAUAACUUUCUAGCACCUCACCAUGGGGAAGGACGCAUUCAUAUGCCUUCACCAGCACAUGCAUUAAACAUGUAGAGAGAUACACAAGGAACGGCAGUCCCUCCUCGACUCCCUCCACCCCCCUCACCAGCAGCCCUCAACAUGUGGCAGACAGAGGAGCCUGGAUCCAGCCUGGCCUACAGGCCAACAUGGCGAGGGGGAAGAAUGGCCGACAACAUUUCCUGCUCUGCGCCUGAGGUAAUCCACAUCCUUAGCCUGCUGGAAACUAUUAAGCACAACCAAGACCAGCUGAUUGCGAAGGUGCUGUGAGUAAAAAUGUGUUGACAAGGUCAGCCACGGACGCUGAGGUCACCAAACACGCCAUCAGGUGGUUCAACUUGGCGGGGGAUCGGGCAACGAGGAGACGAGUCCCGCUUCCACCUCCUCAGGAGGAAUAGAGAUGUAUAUGUAUAAAUAAACAACCUUUUAUUGGACUUCUUGUCAUUCACCAGUUAUUCAUUUUCUGAUAUGUUAGCUGUGCAUGGAGCAGCGUUUCCUUGAAGUUGUAGCCUAAUAGAUUAAAUAUGUAUAUUUACUUUUUAAAUAUAUAUUAUAUAUAUUUACUUUAUAGAGUGAAUUGACCAUUUUCUGUUUCUGCCUAUUGACAAUAUUGUUAGUUUAAAAAUACAAGGCAAUGCAUAUGUAAGCCUAUAUUGCUGUAGUAGGGCUUAGUGAAUUUUUUAGUUUCCUAUUUUAUCCUACAGCAAGAACAGA